rnacentral:tRNA from 1 species
GCGGGGGUUGCCAAGUGGUUAAAGGCGCAGGGCUUAGGACCCUGUGGAUAAACCCUAUCCUGCA